rnacentral:sRNA from 1 species
AUAAAAUGGAAGUUCUGUGUACAAGGCAAUUAUUUACAUCCAAAUUUGUUUUUGUAACACUUAACCUUAUUGGCAAUGUGCUUCAAUUUAUUCAACACAAAGCCUAAUUUUUAUUCGCAGCAACUUUAUUUCACUUUUUAUCAGAGAUGAAUCAAUUUCCUGCUGCUAAUUUUUGCGCCAAGCCUUAUAGAUCUAAACCUGGGUUGUUAUACCAUAUUACAAGGACUGGUUCGCAGCAGGAUACAUUUGGUGGAUAAUCUCUCGUGAACCUCGCUGCGAAAAUUAUCUUGUAUGAAAAUAAAAAUUAGUUUACAGUUACAAAUUUUAAAACUUCAAGUUAAUUGUCUUGCACAACAGUUGUGCCUUGAUGAAAUCGAGCAGGGCGAUAUUUUUUACAGUCUUGUCAUCAGGCCAAAAAAAAAAAUACAUGCAUCGUAAAGAAUUACUGUUACCUUAUACCAGUGUACAUUCUGUCUUUAUUUGAUUGAUGGUUGAUUUUUUUUAAGAAGAAAAGGGUUGUCCAUGAGAUAUCUCAACAAUGUAGGUCUUCUGUUUUGGGCAUAACAUGUAUUUUUGGAGAAAGUCGUAAAUCCAUUACAGUAGCUUUGAUUUCUAAAAACAAUUGUUAACUGUUACAGUAGUCUUAUGUUGUUGAUUUAAGUUGAUAAGAAUUUGUAAUAAAAUAUUUGAAUGAUAGAAUAUUCAAGAUUUUGUAAUUAUAGAUUUCAAGGAUGUAGUAUCUUUUAUAUUCCAGAUUAUCAAAAUGUAUAUCCACUUUUGUGUGUUGGGCAUCGUAUAUCUAUUUAGUGUUUUGUUGACUUACGUGUGUAAAAUGUGCACAAUGUAAGACUUAAUCAAGCUAUUAUCAGAAUAUGGUGUUUACCUUUGUGCUCCCCUGUAUGUUUUUUUUUUCCACAUGAAUGUAAGUGUUGUAUUUUUGUACAGUACUGUACUAAUUCUUUGAAUCAGCACACCAUCACGUGAUGUUUUGUUUUUAAUGAUGUGACUACUCACCUGAAAAGAAAUAAGUUUUCUUUUACAUCUAGUCAGCAUUGAAGUUCUGACCUCAAUUUCCAAUAACGAAAUGUAUAAAUAUACAAAUAUU